AAUCACCUACGGGAGGCAGCAGUGGGGAAUAUUGCACAAUGGGGGAAACCCUGAUGCAGUAACGCCGCGUGAGUGAAGAAGUAUUUCGGUAUGUAAAGCUCUAUCAGCAGGGAAGAAGAUGACGGUACCUGAAUAAGAAGCCCCGGCUAACUACGUGCCAGCAGCCGCGGUAAUACGUAGGGGGCAAGCGUUAUCCGGAUUUACUGGGUGUAAAGGGAGCGCAGACGGCAGUGCAAGUCUGGAGUGAAAGCCCGGGGCCCAACCCCGGAACCGCCCUGGAAACUGUGCGGCUAGAGUACUGGAGG
rnacentral:rRNA from 1 species